UCCCUGAUGGUGUAAUGGUAGCACAUGUGAUUUUGGUUCAUAUAGUUGGGGUUCGAAUCCCUAUCGGGGAA
rnacentral:tRNA from 1 species